UACGUAGGGUGCAAGCGUUAAUCGGAAUUACUGGGCGUAAAAGCGUGCGCAGGCGGUGAUGUAAGACAGGUGUGAAAUCCCCGGGCUUAACCUGGGAACUGCAUUUGUGACUGCAUCGCUGGAGUGCGGCAGAGGGGGGGAUGGAAUUCCGCGUGUAGCAGUGAAAUGCGUAGAUAUGCGGAGGAACACCGAUGGCGAAGGCAAUCCCCUGGGCCUGCACUGACGCUCAUGCACGAAAGCGUGGGGAGCAAACAGG
rnacentral:rRNA from 1 species